AUCAAACUAGAACUCAGGAUUAAGACACUCACUCAAAACCACACAACUACAUGGAAAUUGAACAACCUGUUCCUAAAUGACUACCGGGUAUAUAAUGAAAUGAAGACAGAAAUAAAGAUGUUCUUUGAAACCAAUGAGAACAAAGACACAACGUGCCAGAAUCUCUGGGACACAUUUAAAGUAGUCUGUAGAGGGAAAUUUAUAGCACUAAAUGCCCACAAAAGAAAGCAGGAAAGAUCUAAAAUUGAUACCCUAACAUCAAAAUUAGAAGAACUAGAGAAGCAACAGCAAACAAAUUCAAAAUCUAGCAGAAGACAAGAAAUAA
rnacentral:lncRNA from 10 species